GAGUCUGGACGCUUCCCUCGCUGGGCCGUGAAGUGGUGACUUCCGACCAACCACGGCCAGGCUGGAAAGAUGACACAGUCUCGUUUGUAUGGAGAGGCAGGAAAUUUCUUUCUCCAGAUAUUCUGAUAGGCUGCGCCCUGGACUUGUUUGGAAGAAAUACUUGGCUAAGUCCUUCGGGCUGAGGGUGGGGUGAGGAGCAGACGGGAGUCCGGGGUCUUCGUGUUCCGCCUUCCCAGGAGUCCGGGUGCCCCAGGGCCUUUGCCUCUGAGCGCUGAGGUGGCUGUGGGCUGUGCCAGACGAGGGGGAGCUGGCACUGACCUGAAGUGCCCUGACAAAGAAGGGGAUUGGAGCUGGGGAGGGAUGGGGGGGCGGUUAAAGCCGGUGGGGAGCCACUCUGGGAAACCACGGUGGGGCUAGAUCCGUCAGCAGGGGGUUUGGGGGGCCAGAAACAUCUAAUGGAGGGAGUAGCAUGAGCAAUAUUGGGCCCAAUUACCCUUCUCCCCUUUCUCCACAGUAAUAAAAGCAACCAUUUUUAACCGGCCACAUGCUGCUAGGUGAUUCAACUGUGGCCAAGGGGAUGAAAGCAGAGACUGCAUCCAACAUCCCGGAUGCGACCGUCAGGGGAAAGUUGUGUCUUCUUUGUUUUCUUCCUCCUUUCUCCUUCUUGACGCUGGAAACGCAGAUGGGGUGUUUGAAGUGCAGGUACCACGUGGGACCUCAAGGUGACCUUGGGGAAGGAGUCCAUACAUGGUAGCCCUAUUGGUUUGGUGGGGCCACCAGAACAAAUGAUCGCAAACUGGGCGGCUUAAAGUGACAGAAGCAUAUUCUUUCUCUUGGAAGCAUGUUCUCUCACAGUUCUGGAAGCCAGAAGUCUGAAAUCAAGGUGUGGGCGGGGUCGGUUCCUUCUGGAAACUUUCUUCCAGCCUUUGGUGGUUGUGGGCCAUCCUCCGCUUGUAGAUGCUUCCCUGGCUGCGUCUCAUCACGUGGCCUUCCCUCUGCGUCUGUGUUUCUGUGUGUCCUCCUCUCUUCCCAUAAGGACGCCGCUGGAUUGAAGGCCUCCCCCUAUUCCUGUCUGACUUCCUCCUGGUUACCUGCAAGGAUCGUCUUUGCAAAUAAGGGUGAAAACCCGAGACAGCCUGAGGAGGAGAGGCAGCUGACAUCCGCCCGGAUGAUGUGUCUACCAAGAAGCACUUCCUGCGCCGAGCACUCUGAUUUGGGAGCACUGAGGAGGGAGACAAGCAUCCAGGGGAGAGAGACAGAGCAUGAACGGGGGAGGAGCAGAGAGAGAGAGAGACACAGAAUCGGAAGCAGGCUCCAGGCUCUGGGCCAUCAGCCCAGAGCCCGACGCGGGGCUCGAACUCACGGACCCCGAAAUUCCCAGGUAAUUUAACCUGUUUGCCCACAUGACUUUAAAAUAAUCAUUAUAAUGCCCUAACUGUAAUAAAAAGAAGACAUCAAAGGAAAGCGAUUUGUAAAAACCAAACCUAUUUCCGCAUGUAAGCACUUGGGCCGGUUACACCAGUCUGAUGCGUGUGGCCUUCAGGCAGCCAGCGCCCUGCGGCUGGCGCACGUGUGCCGUGGUAGCAACUUGGGUCCUCGGUGCUGUGGUCAUUUUCGACGCGAGUUUUCAACAUGAUGAGCGGCUCUCGGUAAAGGUCUGAAGCGAACCAAGACCAGUGUCACCGGAGCCACGCUCUUCAAUAGUCCAGUGUGGCAGGCUCCCCCCAGGGGUGCCGCUUGGGUUCCCCAAACAUCGUGGAAAUGCCCCCAGUCACCCCAAAAUGCCCCCACCAAUGUGUGAAAUGCCUCCCUCCUCGGGGCAGCUGUGCCCCUUGUCUGAAAACCACUGCUUCGGGCCCUGGGAGUGGUGGGCAUAGGAACGUGAAUUGACCAAGUCCAGCUAAAGACAUGGCCGUGACAAGAGCAAGUCGCCUCUGGAAGUACUCUUUUGGUAUCAGAUGCCCCAAUUCAACUCCAAGCGGCUUGCGUUUUGCUUAAGCGCAGCAUUUUGCUGCUCACGGCGUUUCAAAGUCUGGAAGUCGAGGCACAGAGCUGCCUCUUGGCUCGGCGUCCUCUGGGUUGGCAUCACAUCCAGGCCACAUCGGAAACGGAAGAGAGGGUGGUUCCCAGUAGCCGGAACAGGUGUCCCGGGGUGGGGGCUUAUCGGCCGGGGUCGGCCUGACGGGAGUCGUUGGUUCCUCGCUGACGCAAUACCCAUGGCCUGUGGCUGGAGGGUGCCGACCGGUGCCUGAGCGGAGGCCGCAAGUGGCCCGUUCCUCGGGGAGAAAUGAAGAUACAGAUGCCAGUUAGCCGAGGGAACAGAAGUGGUGGCUGGACUGCAAAGGUUAUAGAAGUUCUCCGGAGAAAGGGCGAUACGUGAGUGAAUGAGCUUCCUGGGUCCUCUCUAAAGUGGUACAGAAGUAGGGGCUGAACGCAGUCGUUUAUGGAUCUGACCUCCGUAGUUUGGUUUGUUCCCGCUGGCUUCCGCUCAGACGCAGUGCUCUUCCAUAUUCCUUGUUUGUGGCGGCUCCACCACCACAGCCUGGCUGUGUUGAAGCAGAGGCUUGGGAAUACGAAGGGGCCCAGCACGGGUUACCUGUCCCCAUUCGGGCCUAGAUCAGGGCCCUUGAAGACUCCAGGCACUAAAAAGAUUAUGGUGCUUCCACUUAACGCCCUUCCUUGCUCCCAUUAAAAAUAAACACAUUUCUUUUCUUAAA